CCAAUAGCGUAUAUUAAAGUUGUUGCAGUUAAAAAGCUCGUAGUUGAAUUUCGGGAUCAAUAUGCCGGUCAUGCCUUGGUAUGCACUGGUAUCUUUGAUUUCUUCCUUCUGACGAACUUUGAUGUCAUUAAUUUGGUGUCAUAGGGAAUCAGGACUGUUACUUUGAAAAAAUUAGAGUGUUUAAAGCAGGCUCAGGCUUG
rnacentral:rRNA from 1 species